ACAGAGGGGGCAAGCGUUGUUCGGAAUUACUGGGCGUAAAGGGCGCGUAGGCGGCCUUCUAAGUCGAACGUGAAAUCCCCGGGCUCAACCCGGGAACUGCGUCCGAUACUGGAAGGCUUGAAUCCGGGAGAGGGAUGCGGAAUUCCAGGUGUAGCGGUGAAAUGCGUAGAUAUCUGGAGGAACACCGGUGGCGAAGGCGGCAUCCUGGACCGGUAUUGACGCUGAGGCGCGAAAAGCCAGGGGGAGCAAACGGGAUUAGAUACCCCCGGUAGUCCUGGCCCUAAACGAUGAAUGCUUGGUGUGGCGGGUAUCGAUCCCUGCCGUGCCGAAGCUAACGCAUUAAGCAUUCCGCCUGGGGAGUACGGUCGCAAAGGCUG
rnacentral:rRNA from 1 species